CUUUGAAGUAGUGUCAUUUAAUUAUAUUUCUAGAUAAAGAAUAAUACUCAUUUUAAUCAGCAGAAAACAUGAAAACAGAGAGAAGUUGGCUGCUACUGAAGCUUUCUAAGCAGCAGCCUAGUUCAAUAACAUCUCA